rnacentral:lncRNA from 1 species
UCUAAUAGUAGAUGAGUACCAGGCCUUUGGGCCUCCAAUGAUCAUCAUACUAAUGGACCCAUUAUCAUCCAACUUAAUAGGAGGCUAUGAUUUAGUUAUCACCAUAACUAUCUCAUUUAAGAAACCUAAUAAUUUAGAGGAUUUAAUUUAUGAAUUAAGAAAAGAAAAGAGAUCAAUCAGCAAAUCACAAUCCUCCCACUGACUUCACCAA